rnacentral:tRNA from 1 species
CAGUGGAUGGCGUAAUUGGUAGCCGCGACAGGUUGCCAACCUGUUGGAGUGAAAGCUCCGUGGGGGUUCGAGUCCCCUUCCAAUUC